rnacentral:rRNA from 1 species
GACGUAGGGGGCCAGCGUUGUUCGGAAUUACUGGGUGUAAAGGGUUCGUAGGCGGUGUGGCAAGUCGGGAGUGAAAUCUCUGGGCUCAACUCAGAGGCUGCUUCCGAAACUGCUGUGCUUGAGUGUGAGAGAGGCUCGUGGAAUUGCAGGUGUAGCGGUGAAAUGCGUAGAUAUCUGCAGGAACACCCGUGGCGAAAGCGGCGAGCUGGAUCACUACUGACGCUGAGGAACGAAAGCUAGGGGAGCAAACAGGAUUAGAUACCCUGGUAGUCCUAGCCCUAAACGAUCAGGACUUGGGGUGCCACCCGUUCGGGUGUCGUCCCGGAGCUAACGCGUUAAGUCCUGCACCUGGGGAGUACGGUCGCAAGACUGAAACUCAAAG